AUGAACGCUGGCGGCGUGCUUAACACAUGCAAGUUGAGCGAGAAGUUUUGAAAAUAUUCUUCGGAUGACAUUUAAAAUGGAAAGCGGCGGACGGGUGAGUAACGCGUAGGCAACCUGCCCCAUACAAAGGGAUAGCAUUUGGAAACGAAUAUUAAUACCUUAUGAAACUUAACUAGUGCAUGCUAGGUAGGUCAAAGAUUUAUCGGUAUGGGAUGGGCCUGCGUCUGAUUAGCUAGUUGGUGAGGUAACGGCUCACCAAGGCGACGAUCAGUAGCCGACCUGAGAGGGUGAACGGCCACAUUGGAACUGAGACACGGUCCAAACUCCUACGGGAGGCAGCAGUGGGGAAUAUUGCACAAUGGGCGAAACCCUGAUGCAGCAACGCCGCGUGAACGAUGAAGGCCUUUGGGUCGUAAAGUUCUGUUCUAGGUGAUGAAAACUGACAGUAACCUAGGAGAAAGCCCCGGCUAACUCCGUG
rnacentral:rRNA from 1 species